UCGUCCGUCAUUGGGGAGUAGCCGCCUUCCGUCUACGAGAAGGGCCCGCGUCAACAGACUUGUCCUGCCCCACACAGGACAUGGCGCGGGCAGUGAAGAACAACACCUGGCGAGACCAUUGACCGUGCAACUUCGGGAAAUUUGGCCGAAGGUGUUGCACGGUCAAUUGCGUCCCUUCGGCCAAGGAACC
rnacentral:sRNA from 2 species